rnacentral:rRNA from 1 species
UACGAAGGGGGCUAGCGUUGCUCGGAAUCACUGGGCGUAAAGGGCGCGUAGGCGGGCUCUUAAGUCAGAGGUGAAAGCCCAAGGCUCAACCUUGGAAUUGCCUUUGAUACUGAGGGCCUUGAGACCGGAAGAGGUCGGCGGAACUGCGAGUGUAGAGGUGAAAUUCGUAGAUAUUCGGAAGAACACCAGUGGCGAAGGCGGCUCACUGGCCCGGUACUGACGCUGAUGUGCGAAAGCGUGGGGAGCAAACAGG